rnacentral:misc_RNA from 1 species
UAGAAUAUAUAUAUAUAUAUAUAGGUUAGUAACUUCUUCCUUUCAAUGUAUCAAGGCAGUUAAUGCAAGAUAAGCGACUGGAAAAAGCAUUUAGAUGAUAUAUGUGUCUCUCUUCAUAUGUUUGGGAUUAAGUCUUAGUCGAGUUGUUUGCUUCCCUUUUACGUUGUGCAUAAAAGUGAAGAAUUUUUCCCCCUAAUUUCCUUAUAAUACUUUCUUCCAAUCUGUUUGAACCCCAAAUUCAAGGGGAGUAUUAUCACUAAAUACUGUCAUGCAAGUAAAAUCAAAGUUUAUACCUGAAUGAGAAAUCAUUGCUUAGUUUAUAAUUUACCGUUGCUCAUACCUUCUUCUAUAAGGUAUAACAAUGCCUAUCAUCAAGCUUUUGAAGUGUUCAUUCAUGAUAAUGUGCAGAUCUGUUGAUGCCAUUUUCUUAACUUGUAUUGUGAUCUGUAUAUGCAUAGGAUGACAUGAGACUGAG